rnacentral:misc_RNA from 1 species
UUUCCGUAGGUGAACCUGCGGAAGGAUCAUUACACAAAUGUCGGGGGGUAGGAGCCGCAGUGCGUGUAACCCAUGUGCUGCGACCUGCCUCUGUCUUGAUAUUUUACCCAUGUCUUUUGCGUACUAUUCGUUUCCUCGGCGGGCUUGCCUGCCGCUAGGACACUAUAAAACCUUUUUGUAAUUGCAAUCAGCGUCAGUAAAAACUUUAAUAGUUACAACUUUCAACAACGGAUCUCUUGGUUCUGGCAUCGAUGAAGAACGCAGC